AGCAGCUAUAGCAACGAUCUGCAAAAAUGUGCAUACUUCGUGUCCCGAUGCCCUUGGAGGAGAAAAGGUCCUCGGGGCUGGAAGGUCGGAUCCAACGUUUGGAAGACGAAGUUCCCGGGAUGGGCAGUGAAGUUCGCAAGAUGCGGGCUGAUUUAGAGGAGUUGAAGGCAGUGAACUCUGCAAUACUUCCCCAUUAGAACCCUGGACCACUUAAAGGACGUGGAUGAUAAAAUAUAUGGGAACAUGGAGAAAUAUAGGGUAUAAUGAUUUCAGAAGAAAGUUUACAACGCAAUGUAGGAGACGGUUGUGACUGAAACGCUUGUCCAAAAUGCUAGAUGGUUUAGUAGCUCCAUCUGUGGGUCCGAUUAAACCCAGCGGUGGCGCCACCUGUGACAGGCCCAGAAAGGGGUUAUAGGUAGCUGGUGGGUCUAGGAGAAUAACAGCGGCAAAUGUCAAGCGGCUCUAGAAAUUCACC